rnacentral:rRNA from 1 species
CAGUCGCCGCGGUAAUACGAAGGGUGCAAGCGUUAAUCGGAAUUACUGGGCGUAAAGCGUGCGUAGGCGGUGAGUUAAGUCUGCUGUGAAAUCCCCGGGCUCAACCUGGGAAUGGCAGUGGAUACUGGCUCGCUAGAGUGUGUCAGAGGAUGGUGGAAUUCCCGGUGUAGCGGUGAAAUGCGUAGAGAUCGGGAGGAACAUCAGUGGCGAAGGCGGCCAUCUGGGAAAACACUGACGCUGAGGCACGAAAGCGUGGGGAGCAAACAGGAUUAGAUACCCCCGUAGUCCCUGUCUCUUAUAC